AUGGUCUCCAGAGACCUCAUCCAGGGCAUCUGCUUCCUCUCCCAGACAGCAGUGGGACUCGUUGGGAACUCCUUCCUCCUCACGGUCCAUGUCUUCCUGCUCCCCCAGCUCCAUCAGCCCAAGCCCACAGACCUAAUCGUCUCCCACUUGGCCUUGGUCCACACUGUGAUGCUCCUCACCAGGGUCGUCACGGUGACGGUAUCAGCCCUCAGUCUGCGGCAGCUCCAGACCGACGUCGGGUGUAAGAUGUUCGCCUUUGUCUACCGCGCUACGCGUGGUGUCUCCAUGGGCACCACCAGUCUUCUGAGUGCGACCCAAGCCAUUACCAUUGGUCCCAGCCACCCAUCCUGGACCCGGCUCAAAGCCCAGAUGUCCAAGCGCAUCUUCCCUGCCUGUGUCUCCAUCUGGUUCAUCAACAUGCUGGUGGAAGCCAACCUCCUCGUGAAGAUGGUUUUGUCCCCCAACCUGACCAGCAGAGGGAACAGUUUCCAUGACAACUAUUGUGUGGUGUCCAGGAUCAGCACAUACCUCAGCGCUCUGCUCCAGGGGCCCCUCCUGACCCUUAUGACGGUCCGCGACAUCCUCUCCCUGGGGCUCAUGGGAGGUUCCAGUGGCUACAUGGUCCUCCUCCUCCUCCGACAUAGCCAGAGGGUCCACCGUCUCCAUGGCCACCACCCGACAUCCAGGACCUCGCCGGAGACCCAGGCCACCCAAACCAUCCUGCUCCUGAUACUUCACCGAACACUACCAGCAUCUCCUGGCCCUGGGGUUUGCUGUGGAGAAGAUCAACAAGGACCCCAGUCUGUUACCCAAUAUUACCCAAUAUUUCUCUGGGCUUCCACCUCUUCAAUAUCCACUUCCUGGGGCCAAUGGAGGCCGAGAGCUCUAUGGCUCUGCUCUCGGGGAGAUCCGGGAUGGUUCUCAACUACAGCUGUGAGCCGGAGCAGUGGGACAAACUGUUGGCUGUAAUAGGAGGGAUGUCAUCAACAGUGUCCACAACAGUCUCUUGGCUUCUGGGACUCUAUAAGUUCCCCCAGAUAAUUGUAUAUUGCAUGGACCAAAGCCCCGUUCUCGGCAAAAUCUGGGUCACCAUAUCCGACUGGGAUUUGAUAACCAAUGCCCUCAUCAGAAAUAACAUCUUUUUCCAAG